AAUCAACGCUGGCGGCGUGCCUAACACAUGCAAGUCGAACGCGAGAGGGGCUUCGGCCCCGAUUGAGUGGCGAACGGGUGAGUAACGCGUGGGUGACCUACCUUCGAGUGGGGAGUAACGUCCCGAACGGGACGCUAAUACCGCAUAACAUCCUGCUUUUGUAAUGGGUGGAGAUCAAAGCCGGGGAUCNCAAGACCUGGCGCUUGAUGAGGGGCCCGCGUCUGAUUAGCUAGUUGGGAGG
rnacentral:rRNA from 1 species